rfam:Drosophila persimilis strain MSH-3 cont1.002593, whole genome shotgun sequence.
UUCCUAUGAUGAUAUCAAAAAGGUUUCGCAUAUAUCUGACUACUAUGACGAUAAACCUUGGCUGUCUGAGUGA